rnacentral:rRNA from 1 species
CAGCCGCCGCGGUAAUACGGAGGGGGCUAGCGUUGUUCGGAAUUACUGGGCGUAAAGCGCACGUAGGCGGCUUUGUAAGUUAGAGGUGAAAGCCCGGGGCUCAACCCCGGAAUUGCCUUUAAGACUGCAGAGCUAGCAGGUGAGAGAGGUGAGUGGAAUUCCGAGUGUAGAGGUGAAAUUCGUAGAUAUUUGGAAGAACACCAGUGGCGAAGGCGGCCCGCUGGACAAGUAUUGACGCUGAGGUGCGAAAGCGUGGGGAGCAGACAGGAUUAGAGACCCCGGUAGUCCCUGUCUCUUAUAA